rnacentral:rRNA from 1 species
GUUCCCUACGGGGCGCAGCAGUAGGGAAUCUUCCACAAUGGACGAAAGUCUGAUGGAGCGACGCCGCGUGAGUGAAGAAGGGUUUCGGCUCGUAAAGCUCUGUUGGUAGGGAAGAAAGAUAGAGGUAGUAACUGGCCUUUAUUUGACGGUAAUUACUUAGAAAGUCACGGCUAACUACGUGCCAGCAGCCGCGGGAAUACGUAGGUGGCAAGCGUUGUCCGGAUUUAUUGGGCGUAAAGGGAACGCAGGCGGUCUUUUAAG